GGGUGGACUCGGGCAGGUCGGUCCACGCCGCGCCGAGCGGCGGCCACGGGUAGUUCGGGUCCAUCGUUCAUCCG
rnacentral:tRNA from 1 species